rnacentral:tRNA from 1 species
GCCCACAUGGUUCAGUGGUUGAACUCUGACCUAUGAACCAGAAGGUUACGGUUAAAUUCCGGUGAGGGCA